rnacentral:tRNA from 1 species
AUUUAUAUAGUUUAAUAAAAACCUUACAUUUUCAUUGUAAAAUUAGAGGAAUCUUAUAAAUA